rnacentral:rRNA from 1 species
GACGAACGCUGGCGGCGUGCUUAACACAUGCAAGUCGAACGGUGAAGCGCGUUCCUUUUUGGUGGGUGUGGAUGAGUGGCGAACGGGUGAGUAACACGUGAGUAACCUGCCCCCUCCUGCUUGAUAACCGCAUGAAAGUGUGGCUAAUACGGGAUAUUUUGGGUCUGUCGCAUCAUGGGUCUGGGAAAGUUUUUGUUUCGGUGGGGGAUGGGCUCGCGGCCUAUCAGCUUGUUGGUGGGGUGAUGGCCUACCAAGGCGGUGACGGGUAGCCGGCCUGAGAGGGUGGACGGUCACGCUGGGGCUGAGCCUCGGCCACGACUCCGACGGGAGGCAGCAGUGGGGCUUAUGGAACGAUGGGCGGAAGGCUGAUGCAGCGACGCCGCGGGAGGGAUGGAGGCCUGCGGGUUGAGAACUGCUUUCGGCAGUGAAGCAAGCCGGCCUCAUCUGUGGGUGGGUUGACGGUACCUGGAGAAGAAGCGCCGGCUAACUACGUG